GUGGUUACAGCUCAGUGGUAGAGCACUUGCCUAGCAUGUGUGAGGCACUGGGUUGGAUCCUCAGCACCACG
rnacentral:tRNA from 1 species